AUUGAACGCUGGCGGCAGGCCUAACACAUGCAAGUCGAGCGGAGCGGCGGACGGGUGAGUAAUGCCUAGGAAUCUACCUGGUAGUGGGGGAUAACGUCCGGAAACGGGCGCUAAUACCGCAUACUAUCAGAUGAGCCUAGGUCGGAUUAGCUAGUUGGUGUGGUAAAGGCCUACCAAGGCGACGAUCCGUAACUGGGCUGCGAGGAUGAUCAGUCACACUGGAAAGUGGACACGGUCCAGCCGCCUACGGUCGGCAGCAGUGGGGAAUAUUGGACAAUGGGCGAAAUCCUGAUCCAGCCAUUCCGCGUGUGUGAAGAAGGUCUUCGGAUUGUAAAGCACUUUAAGUUGGGAGGCGUUACCAACAGAAUAAGCAACGGCUAACUUCGUGCCAGCAGCCGCGGUAAUAC
rnacentral:rRNA from 1 species